AUUUCCCAUUACGCAAGUAAGUAAGAUCCCUCAAAGACGAUGAGGUAGAUAGGUUCGAGGUGGAAGUGUGGUGACACAUGGAGCUGACGAAUACUAAUCGAUCGAGGACUUAACCAAAA
rnacentral:rRNA from 1 species